AAAGAAGUUGAACGACUUAUUUGGGAGGGAAAGAAAAGGACCUGCCUGUGAGUUGAGAGGUGUGGUACGGCAGAACUCAGAGGUCAAAAACCAGGGGAAGGAAGAUUGCAUGGGGAGAGGUAGAGUGCUCUCUUUCACCUCCUGAGUAGAUUAAGAGUCUUUGAACCUUGCACGACGGCCACUGCACACCUUGCAGAAGCACGACAAAGAGCCAGUGGGUAUAUUAAUUUUA